UUGGAGUGAGCUGUUGAACAGAUAAUGAUUUCCAAAACGCUUAUAUUGUACUGAACGAGAAGACGAACGUAACGAUCCAUAAUAGAAACAUACUUUUCUUUGAAAUUGGAUAGGUCGUCAUCUAACGGUACCAGAAUAAUGUCCAUUUGCCUCUUAUUGAGAUAAGGUGUGGCAGAAAGUGCCAAAAUACGAUGGCAAGAACUCUGAGUACGCAGUAAUCGAAGGCUCUAGUAGAACAAAAAAUAUUAUGAAUAAAGAGCGGUCCACAAUACGCAUGAUUAUUU